AUCUUUCAUGGUUCUUUCAACCGAAAAUGAGAAAAGAAAAAGGUUCAUGGAAGCCAUUAGGGUUCGGCAACUUCAAGCUUUAAUUAGCUUCUUGCUGGUAUUAUAUCCGGGUUAAAUCCCGCAGGCUUAGUGCUGGUAUUAUAUUCGAGCUUAAAGUCCCACAGGUUUUGUGCUGGUGACUAGAUUCGGGUUUUAAACCUAGCAGGCUUAACGCUGAUGAUUCAAGUAAGAUUAUGAAUCCGAAAGUUCGAGGUAAACUACUAUUGAUUAUGUAUGAUACAUUAUGAUAGUCAGGUACGUAUUAUGUACUCGCAUGUGAAUUGAUUUUUAAGGUGAAUUAUUAGUAUCAAAGAACGAUAUAUAUGUGUGAAUGAUUACUAUAUCUACGAAUAAGAGCAUGACCUAUUUGGUCGAUGUCUGUCAUUAUAUGAAA